UUGCCAGACUCCUACGGGAGGCAGCAGUGGGGAAUAUUGGGCAAUGGGCGCAAGCCUGAACCAGCAACGCCGCGUGAAUGAUGAAGGUCUUCGGAUUGUAAAGUUCUUUUCUAAGGGAAGAAGAAAGUGACGGUACCUUAGGAAUAAGCCUCGGCUAACUACGUGCCAGCAGCCGCGGUAAUACGUAGGAGGCGAGCGUUAUCCGGAAUGACUGGGCGUAAAGGGUGCGUAGGUGGUUUGACAAGUUGGUAGCGUAAUUCCGGGGCUCAACCUCGGCGCUACUACCAAAACUGUCGGACUUGAGUGCAGGAGGGGCAAUCGGAAUUCCUAGUGUAGCGGUGGAAUGCGUAGAUAUUAGGAGGAACACCAGUGGCGAAGGCGGAUUGCUAGACUGUAACUGACACUGAGGCACGAAAGCGUGGGGAGCAAACAGGAUUAGAUACCCCCGUACUC
rnacentral:rRNA from 1 species